GCGUCUUUGGUGUAGCGGUAACACACCGCCCUGAAAUAUUGCUUCUACCUGCUUUCCAAGGCGGAGUUCGGGGUUCGUGCCCCCGAGGGCGCG